rnacentral:lncRNA from 1 species
UUCGUCGUGGACUCAACAGUGCCGGGAGCCACGGCAACGCUGGUGCCCUCAGCCUACGCGAUUCUCAGCCUCGACAGCAGCGCGACUGUCGUUGAAUUUCCGUCUCCUGUAUAUUCCUGGCAAGAGACAAGAGACUUCUGCAGCAGUCUCGGUUUGAAGCAGAUUUCGUACCCAGUUACCGACAAGGAAAAAGCAGCGAUGAGCAUCAGGAGGCGAAGCCGAAUUUUCAUUGAUUUGCAGCGUCAAGGCAACGGAUGGUACACUUCGGUCUCCUCCAGCCAAGUGCUGCUGCCCCCCGACUACCCCUUCCCGUGGGAUAGUACCAACCCUUCCUACGGCACCCAGACGUGCUUGGUUAUUUACGGAUAUCCAUUCCAAGUCUACGACUUUGAAUGCAAUCUUGUUGAUAGUGUUCCCUACGCUGUCAUAUGCCUUGUUUAAAAGAAAAACAGGUAUUCCCCUCCUUCUGAAGCAAUUAAUUUAUGAAUAAUUAAGCAUGGCAUUGAAUUGAGUGUGAACACAGAGUGAUGCAUACAUGAGAUGAAAUUUUGCUGUGAAAUGAAUCAUUCAUGCCAAGAGUUUCAGUCGUUAUACUUGGACUGCUCGAGAUGUUGGCAACACAUAUUUGCACAAUGCACAGUAUCCAAUUACGUUUAGAGAAAGAAAAAUCACUAGUAUAUAAGAAUAUUUCAAUUAUUUUACAGUAAAUAUCUCAUAAUUGAGUAUUCGCAUUCGAAAAAUAGAAAGUCACCAUGCAUUGGCCUCUUUACCAAAAAAUAAAAAAAAUACGCGCUCGGAAACAAACAACGUUUUGAAAUGAAACUGUUAAAUCAAUAUAUAGCUUAUAAUUCUUAUAUAAUAAGGAUAUAGUCAGGAGCAUGAUCA